rnacentral:rRNA from 1 species
UACGUAGGGUGCAAGCGUUGUCCGGAAUUAUUGGGCGUAAAGAGCUCGUAGGCGGUCUGUCGCGUCGGCUGUGAAAUCCCGAGGCUCAACCUCGGGUCUGCAGUCGAUACGGGCAAACUAGAGUAUUGCAGGGGAGACUGGAAUUCCUGGUGUAGCGGUGAAAUGCGCAGAUAUCAGGAGGAACACCGGUGGCGAAGGCGAGUCCCUGGACAACUCCUGACACUAAGGCACGAAAGCUAGGGGAGCAAACAGG